UACAGGGCCCCAAGCGUUAAUCGGAAUUACUGGGCUUAAAGGGUGCGUAGGCGGCUCCGUAAGUGCUCUGUGAAACGCCCUCGGCUCAACCGAGGAACAGCAGGGCAUACUGCGGAGCGUUGAGGAAGGUAGAGGCCGUUGGAACGCUCGGUGGAGCGGUGGAAUGCGUAGAGAUCGAGCGGAACGCCAAAAGUGAAGACAGACGGCUGGGCCUUUCCUGACGCUGAGGCACGAAAGCGUGGGGAGCAAACCGG
rnacentral:rRNA from 1 species